GAGGGCCUGUGCUUGAUGAGGUUGCUCUUGUGGAGCAUUUGAAACAAAAUCCCAUGUUUCGAGUUGGUCUUGACAUCUUUGAGGAUGAGCCUUACAUGAAACCUGGGCUUGCCGACCUGAAGAAUGCCAUUGUGGUACCUCACAUUGCUUCUGCUUCCAAGUGGACUCGAGAAGGAAUGGCAACAUUGGCUGCUCUCAAUGUCCUGGUACGUCACUAAUAUGACUUUUGGA